rnacentral:lncRNA from 1 species
UUAGGGGUUAGGGUGAACAUGGAUUCCAGUUUGCUCCCAGUCUCUUCAAUGCUGUGACUGGAUGAGACUCUUCUACACUACUGCAGAACAGAUAUGUGGUUCUAACAGGGCAUGAAGACUCCCCUCUAAUCUGGGCUUUCCUGUUGUGGAAAGGAUUCUAGGAAAGGAUGCCAACAGGCCAGAUGUCAUCUUUUUUGGUGGGCUGUACACAUCAGACUGGACUUGCCUUAAAUGAGAUUCAGACAAUCCUGUUUGCCAAAUGCCCAACAAGAAAAGAGCAGUUAUACAGAACUUGUGGUAGAAGGAGGGAAACUGAGGAUCUUAGAAAUCUCUGUCUGAUGACUAACUGCUACCAGUCAGAGUAUGGAGAGUUGGACACUUCACCACUCAGAAAUGUUUAUUUAAAGCGAGGUGCAGUGGCUCAUGCCUGUAAUCCCAUCACUUUGGAAGGCUGAGGUGGGCGGAUCAUGAGGUCAAGAGAUUGAGACCAUCCUGGCGGACAUGGUGAAACCUCAUCUCUACUAAAAAUACAAAAAUUAGCUGGCGUGGUGGCGCACACCUCUAGUCCCAACUACUCAGGAGACUGAGGCAGGCGAAUUGUUUGAACCUAGGAGGCAGAGGUUGCCGUGAGC